rnacentral:rRNA from 1 species
AGCGAACGCUGGCGGCAGGCCUAACACAUGCAAGUCGAACGAACCUUUCGGGGUUAGUGGCGGACGGGUGAGUAACACGUGGGAACGUGCCUUUAGGUUCGGAAUAACUCAGGGAAACUUGUGCUAAUACCGAAUGUGCCCUUCGGGGGAAAGAUUAAUCGCCUUUAGAGCGGCCCGCGUCUGAUUAGCUAGUUGGUUGAGGUAAUGGCUCACCAAGGCGACGAUCAGUAGCUGGUCUGAGAGAAUGAUCAGCCACAUUGGGACUGAGACACGGCCCAAACUCCUACGGGAGGCGGCAGUGGGGAAUCUAGCGCAAUGGGCGAAAGCCUGACGCAGCCAUGCCGCGUGAAUGAUGAAGGUCUUAGGAUUGUAAAAUUCUUUCACCGGGGACGAUAAUGACGGUACCCGGAGAAGAAGCCCCGGCUAACUUCGUG